rnacentral:hammerhead_ribozyme from 1 species
UUCUAACUGACGAGUCCCAAAUAGGACGAAACGCACCUUGGAU